rnacentral:lncRNA from 1 species
AUUAAAUUGGUCAAUAGAAUGGAUGUUCCUGCGGUAAACCAGAGCUAUACACAUCCACCACCUCAGCCAUGGGCCGGACAGAGCCCCAGGACCCCAACCAUGCCUUCUCCCAGCCGUGCACCUCCUUCUUAUCACUACCCAAACCUGAACCCAGAUCAGCAGAGUGUGACCCCGAUGACCCACAUGACAGGAACCUCAGCAGGUCAUCGGCCUCAUUCACUGUACUGGGACCCCUCACAGCAAAGCUACCAGGAUGUGUUAAAGCCUGUUCCUGAGAUCACAAAUAUGACGACUCAAGGAAUGCCACAGAGAAACUACUCAUUACCAACAAGUCCAGUGUCAAAUUCCAAGACAGAGUCUCGGUACGGCCUCGAUCCUCAGCUUCUACCCAGUGUGGUAAAUCAGCUUGCCCUCUUAUUCUGUAAUGUUUCCUACAAGACAGCUCAGGUUUGGUUGCACUGUUGUGUAUGGCUGUGUUGUUUUGUCUCAGUGUCUGUGUCCUCUGUCUCCAACAUGUUCAGGUCCAUGUGAUUAAAGAGAACAGGAUCCAGUGGGAGGGGAAAGUGUUUGUUUCAGAGUCCAAAUCUUCAGUUCCCCCUCUCUCCUCAACACAAUGC